GCUGUAAACUAUGCCUACUAGACAUCGGAAGCCUUACGGGGGGUUUCCGGAGUCGGAGGGAAACCGUUAAGUAGGCCGCCUGGGGAGUACGGUCGCAAGGCUGAAACUUAAGGGAAUUGGCGGGGGAGCACACAAGGGGUGGAGGCUGCGGUUCAAUUCGACUCAACGCGGGGAACCUUACCAGAGGCGACAGCAGUAUGAAGGUCAGACUCAAGAUCUUACCAGACACGCUGAGAAGUAGUGCAUGGCCGUCGUCAGUUCGUGCCGUGAGGUGUCGUCUUAAGUGACGUAACGAACAAGACCCACGCCCAAUGUUGCUAACCAAUUCUAUUGGUGCACUCAUUGGGGACCGCUGACGAUAAGUCCGAGGAAGGUGUGGUCGACGGCAGGUCCGUAUGCCCUGAAUCCUCUGGGAUACACGCGGCCUACAAUGGAUGGUACAAUGAGAUGCGACACCGAAAGGUGAAGCUAAUCUCGAAAACCAUCCUCAGUUCAGAUCGAGGGUUGCAACUCACCCUCGUGAA
rnacentral:rRNA from 1 species